rnacentral:rRNA from 1 species
UACGUAGGGUGCAGGCGUUAAUCGGAAUUACUGGGCGUAAAGCGUGCGCAGGCGGUUCGCUAAGACAGAUGUGAAAUCCCCGGGCUUAACCUGGGAACUGCAUUUGUGACUGGCGGGCUAGAGUAUGGCAGAGGGGGGUAGAAUUCCACGUGUAGCAGUGAAAUGCGUAGAGAUGUGGAGGAAUACCGAUGGCGAAGGCAGCCCCCUGGGCCAAUACUGACGCUCAUGCACGAAAGCGUGGGGAGCAAACAGG